rnacentral:rRNA from 1 species
UACGUAGGGGGCAAGCGUUGUCCGGAAUCAUUGGGCGUAAAGAGCGUGUAGGCGGCUUGGAAGGUCAGCUGUGAAAACUGGAGGCUUAACCUCCAGACGUCGAUGGAAACCGUAUGGCUAGAGUCCGGAAGAGGAGAGUGGAAUUCCUGGUGUAGCGGUGAAAUGCGCAGAUAUCAGGAAGAACACCCGUGGCGAAGGCGGCUCUCUGGGACGGUACUGACGCUGAGACGCGAAAGCGUGGGGAGCGAACAGG